GAUGAACGCUGACAGAAUGCUUAACACAUGCGAGUCUUUGGCGAAGCUGUGCUUGCACAGCCUAGCCAAGGCGGACGGGUGAGUAACGCGUAAGGAACUUGCCCUGCAGUCAGGGAUAACAGACGGAAACGACUGAUAAGACCUGGUAAAGUCAGGCGGACUCAUGUCCAGCCUGAUGAAAAGAGAUGCUGCAGGCGAGCCUUGCGUCCUAUUAGCUUGUUGGUGGGGUAACGGCCCACCAAGGCGAUGAUAGGUAGCCGGCCUGAGAGGGUGGACGGCCAGAGGGGGACGGGGAGACGGCGCGUAGUCCGACGGGAGGCAGCAGGGGGGAAUAUGGGACAAUGGGGGCAACCCGGAGCCAGCAAUUCUGGGGGAAGGAUGAAGGUUUGGGGAUGGGAAAGUGCUUUCGGAAGGGAAGAAAAAAUGACGGGACCUGCAGAAGAAGCGACGGCUAAAUACGUG
rnacentral:rRNA from 1 species